GAUGAAGAACUUAGCGAAAUGCGAUACUUGGUGUGAAUUGCAGAAUCCCGUGAACCAUCGAGUCUUUGAACGCAAGUUGCGCCCGAAGCCAUUAGGCCGAGGGCACGCCUGCCUGGGUGUCACACGUCGUUGCCCCCCCAUCUACUCCUUCGGGAUUGCGGGGGGCGGAUGAUGGCCUCCCGUGCGCCUCGUCGCGCGGUUGGCAUAAAUGCCAAGUCCUCGGCGACGCACGCCACGACAAUCGGUGGUUGCGAAACCUCGGUUGCCCGUCGUGUGCGGUCGUCGCGCAUCGAGGGCUCGAAAAAAUUGCCGGGCUCCGGCUCGGCUUUCAACGCGACCCCAGGUCAGGCGGGGUUACCCGCUGAAUUUAAGCAUAUCAAUAAGCGGAGGA
rnacentral:misc_RNA from 1 species